rnacentral:sRNA from 1 species
AAUUAAACUCCAGUAAGAUUUUUUUUGUUUGUUUGUGCGUGCGUACGUGUGUUGUGUAUGUGUUAAACAAAAAAGGGGGAAAUGCAGUUUGAUUAAGCGCACCAGGCAACCAAGAGAAACCAAAGUCUGUUCAGUGACAGUGAAUGUUGAGCCGCCGCAGCCUUUUACCGCCCAAAGCAGGAUAAUAUUCAUGGGAAUUGUGGAAAUAAAUGAAAAAUUUAUUUUGUUAAGAUGUGUUUGAUAGAUAUUGGAAUUUCAAUUAAAUAUUAAAAAUGUGUGUUUGUUCAAUGCAUGAUUUGCUGAAGUUGCAACUUAACGCCGUUAACUCCACUAACCCCAAUUGAGUUGGUUCUUUUUCUCCCCUGUUGGCUGGCUGACUGGCUGCUGUUUGUGGCUACACCCAAAACGAACCACAAGAAACUGAAAUAAACAACAAAACCCUUGUGUGUGUUUGUGUGUUUUUUUAUCACUCGUCUGUAAUGUCUUUGUUGCUGUUAAGGAAAUAAUCUUAAAUUUUCAUACAAGUUUUGGGUUUAUGUGGGUGUAAGGAACCAAUUGGUUU